UACGUAGGGGGCAAGCGUUGUCCGGAAUCAUUGGGCGUAAGGGUGCGUAGGUGGCGGGGUAAGUCAGGUGUGAAAUCUCGGGGCUCAACCCCGAAACUGCACUUGAUACUGCCUUGCUCGAGUACUGGAGAGGAGAUUGGAAUUUACGGUGUAGCAGUGAAAUGCGUAGAUAUCGUAAGGAAGACCAGUGGCGAAGGCGAAUCUCUGGACAGUUACUGACACUGAGGCAACGAAGGCCAGGGGAGCAAACGGG
rnacentral:rRNA from 1 species